rnacentral:rRNA from 1 species
AUGGCUAGCUCUCAACCCAGCUCCCUCACAACCCAGCUCCCUCGCUCCCUCACUCUCACUCAACUCUCUUCCAAUCGAUCCAUCCAUCAGGUGAAGGCGCAGCCGAUGAAGGAGGAGUUCCCGGUGACGCACCCGAGCCAGCUGGCCGGGAACCCGGCGCUGGGCCUGCCGCUGCAGCUCGGCCACUGCGACUCCUGCGGCGCCACCGACCUCGCCAAGUGUGAAGGUCAUUUCGGGUUCAUCAAGCUGCCCGUGUCUGUCUACCACCCAAGCCAUAUCGCCGAGCUGACGAAGAUACUCAACAUGAUCUGCUUCAGCUGCCUCCAGUUCAAGAACUGCAAGAAACAGAAAAGUGUGGAAAAGGAGAGCAACUUCACCUCAUGUUCAUACUGUCAGGAUCUCCCACCAAUACAUGUUGCAAAAGUCAAGAAAUCCAAUGGAGCCCUUACCUUGGAGCUGAGAGUGCCAUCCAGGAAAGAACUGGAAGAGGGAUUUUGGAGCUUCCUCGAUCAAUUUGGCUUUCACACGAAGGGCAGCUCCCACUGCCAUCGUUUAUUCGCAGAAGAGGUUCAGAAAAUAAUGGAGAAGAUCUCAGAAAAAACAAGAAGGCAGAUUGCUGCUAAGGGAUAUAUUCUUCAGGAUGGAUUUGUGAUGAGCAAUCUCCCUGUUCCACCAAACUGCCUCCGCGCUUACAAUGUUUUAGAUGAAACACUCAUGUGCUCUCCGGAUGCCUCCACAAACCUGCUGAGGAAAAUCGUACUCAACGUACAUAGAAUCAACAACUCAAGGGUUGGCCCCCCAACCUUCAAAGAACAUGAGGUGGAAGCAGAUGAUCUUCAGGUUGCCAUUGCUGACUACAUCAAGCAUGCAGGAACAGCAAGGGGUCCUCAAGAUAUCACCUUUAAAAGUCUGCCUGCAACAAAACAAUGGCAGCAAAAGAUGAAGUCACUCUGCAUCAGCAAGAGCUCAAGCUUCUCAUGCCGUGGUGUGAUCACAGGUGACCCAUACAUUCCUAUGAAUGUGGUAGGAGUGCCUGGUGAAGUAGCAAGGCGAAUGUCAGUACAAGAGCGUGUGACAGACUACAACAUUGCUCAGCUGCAAGGCAUGAUGGAUAGAGGUCUUUGCCUGACACAUGAAGAUGCUAAUUCUAUCAUGCACUCCUUGGAUGUGGGGAAAGCAAAUAAGAAACGGACCAUACUGAAGGUCGGUGAAACGGUCAACCGGAGAAUUCUGGAUGGAGAUGCGGUAUUUGUCAACAGGCCACCAAGCACCGACAAGCACUCAGUCCAAGCAAUGUAUGUCCGUGUACAUACUGAUCACACCAUCAAGAUCAACCCACUCAUAUGUGGACCACUUGGGGCAGAUUUCGAUGGCGACUGUGUCCACAUUUUCUUCCCAAGGUCGGUGUCAGCAAGGGCUGAAGCUAUAGAGCUCUUCACGGUGGAGAAGCAGCUGGUCAGCUCUCACAAUGCAAAGCUGAAUUUUCAGCUCAAGAAUGAUUGCUUACUAGCUUUAAAGAAAAUGUCUGCUAGAAAGUAUUCCAGAAGGGAGGCCAAUGAACUUUUAAAUGCAAUGUUCACGGCAGGGUUGAUUCCCAAGAAGCGACUAUCAGGUCGACCAGAGUGGAGUUUCGCUCAGAUUCUAGAGACGGUACUACCACAGGAAAACAAAAUAUUAAUCAGAGACUUGGUUGCUGGCACUAUUACCAUCUCAUCAGUUCUGUCCACGAAGAAUCCAAGGGAGGCCAUAGAAUUUCUGAAUCUUCUGCAGCCCCUACUAAUGGAAUCAUUAUUUACCGAUGGUUUCAGCGUAAGCCUGAGAGACUUCAAUGUCCAGAAUCCAAUACCACAGACAAUUCAGCAUCAGACACUUGAUCUUGACAAGUUACGGAAACCAAUUGUGGACUUCAUUACUUCUUCUGACAUUCGCUUCUUGGUUGACCAAAAGAGAGAUUCAGCCAUGACCAAAGUAGUGGAGCAGAUUGGUUUCUUGGGACAUCAGCUGCAGCGCAACGGAAGAUUAUAUUCUGGCAGCUUGGUAGAGGAUUGCGUAUCCAAGUCACUAAGCAAGUGUGGCAGCAGCACCAAUGGUUGCCAUCCUUUGGAGGCACAUGGUUUUGUCAGGAACUCACUUUGCAAUGGACUGAACCCAUAUGAGGACCUACUCCAUUCAAUAUCUGCAAGGGAGAAGACAAUACGCGCAUCUAAAGGACUUGUGGAGCCGGGCGUUCUCUUCAAGAAUAUGAUGGCAAUGCUCCGGGAUGUUGUAGCAUGCUAUGAUGGAACCAUAAGAAACUCAUGUGGAAAUUCAGUUGUCAAGUUUGACUCGAGAAACUCAUCGAGUUCUGUGACACCAGGAGAUCCCGUUGGUAUCUUGGCAGCCACUGCAGUUACAAAUGCUGCAUACAAGGCAGUGUUAGACCCAAAUCAGAAUAACAUGGCCUCAUGGGACUCGAUGAAGGAAGUACUACUUACACGAGCUAGCUCUAGGAAUGAAAAUGACCAAAAAAUAAUUUUGUAUCUAAAUAAAUGCUCUUGUGGGGAUAAUUUCUGCAUGGAAAGAGCAUCACUCGCAGUUCAAGCCUGCUUAAAGAGGACCAAAGUAGAAGACUGUGCUACUGAGUUCUCAAUCCAUUAUCAACAACAAAAUAUUCAAGCAACACAUUGUCUUGUUGGCCACAUUCACCUUGACAAGAAGCAACUGGAUGAAAUGAACAUAAGUAUGCAAGGUAUUCUUCAGAAAUGCCAGAAAGAAAUAUAUAGAUGCGGAAAGAAGAAGGGGCAGGUGAAUCAACUUAUGAAGAGAGUUGUGAUCUCAAGCGAAUAUAUGUGCUACCAGGAUGCAGAUGACGAAGAACAGGUCUCCUGUUUGCAGUUUUUCCUAACUAAAAGUGUCACCACACAAUCUGAAUCUUCUGCGCGAGUUGUCCAGUUGAUGGCCAAUACCAUUUCUCCUAUACUCCUGGACACAAUCAUAAAAGGUGAUCCACGAGUUCAGGAGGUGAACAUAAUAUGGGCUGAACCACAAGACACGUGUUGGGUCCAGAACUCCGGUACAGAACAGAAGGGCGAACUGGCGUUGGUAAUCACAAUGGAUAAAGACUCAACUGGGGAGAGUGGUGAUGUCUGGGGAACAGCAAUGGAUGCAUGCAUCCCUGUGAUGGAUCUGAUCGACACUACCAGGUCUGUGCCCUACAGCAUCCAACGAGUUCGGGAAGGGUUUGGAAUUUCCUCUGCCUUUGGUCGAGUCACACAGCACCUUUCCAAGGCAGUUGGAAUGGUUACAAAAUCAGUUCUCGAAGAACACCUGACAACUGUUGCAAGCAGCAUAACCUGCACAGGUAACUUGCAUGGCUUCAACAGCUAUGGUUACAAGGCCACAUUCAAGGCCCUCAAGAUUCAGGCACCCUUCAUGAAGGCUACACGCGCUAGGCCAUUGCAAUGCUUCGAGGAGGGUGCAGAGAAGGUCUAUUCUGAUCAGUUGGAUAGCGUUGUGUCUACCUGUUCUUGGGGCAAUCCUGCACCAAUUGGGACUGGUUCAGCCUUCAAAAUCCACUGGAAUGAUGGGAACACGUCAGCAAGCAAUGAGAACCUUGGAGGGUAUGGUUUAUAUGAAUUCCUCACAGAGGUAGAAACAACAAGAGCCACUGAAGAUAAUAUGAUUGUUCCAUACGGUUCCUGCUUGUAUGAUGUUGACAACCUUCAAGAAGAUGAAAUCGAAGAGGAUGAAGUCUUAUGUUUGGGAGGAAACAGUCCAAUCUCUUGGACAGACAGGCCAAAAUCAAAUCUCCUACUGCAUGAUCUUCAAGGUUGGAGGGCUGAACAAGGGCACCAAAAAGUGCCAGUUGCAAACUGGCAACAUGGUAAACAUGUCACCACAAAGUCAAGUGGCACUAGUGGAUGGAACCAGAGCAGUUCUACCACAAAAGUUUAUCAGAGAAGGCAGCGUAAUAGUAAUUGGGGCUCAGAUGCAACACAGCAAGAUGGUAACCCGUGUUGGAACAAAGCAUAUGUGGCAGGCCCAAGCAACUUUGCCAUAACAGGGCCAUCAAGUGGUACUAGUGGAUGGAACCAGAGCAGUUCUACCACGAAAGUUUAUCAGAGAAGACAACUUGAUAGUAAUUGGAGCUCAGAUGCAACACAACAAGAUGGUAACGCAAGUUGGAAGAAAGCAAAUGUGGCAGGCCAGGGCAACUUUGCCAUUACAGGGCCAUCUAGCUCUGGCGGAUGGAGUAGAAAGACCAAUAAUCUUGGUAGGGGUCGACGUGGUGGUAGAGGUGCAAUCUGGAAAUCAGAGGGAUCACACCGUGGAGGUAACAGUAGGUGGAAAGCCCAAAGAGCCAAUACCACAAGCGCCCCGAACUUCCACAAUUCAGGACCAUCCAACUAUGGAGGACGGAACAUCAAGACUGGCAGAGGACCAGCAUGGAGAUCAAAUGGACCAAACCGGGGAGGUAGCAAUAGUGAACAAAGAGGGAGUUCAAAUUUUACACUAGCGGAACAGCAGAUACAUGCACAAGUUGAUCCAAUCAUGAAAGAAGUAAAGAGGAUCAUCCGUGAAUCAAGGGAUGGCAUCAAGCUUUCUGGAGAUGAUGAAAGGUUCAUUGUUGAAAAUAUUCUCAUGUACCACCCAGAGAAGGAAAAGAAGAUGGCAGGGAAUAACAAUUACAUAAUGGUUGCUAAGCAUCAAAAGUUCCAUAGCUCCAGGUGCUUGUACGUCGCAUCCUCAGAUGGCCCUCCUACAGAUUUCUCCUACAAGAAGUGCCUAGAGAACAUGAUCAGGAUUCACUACCCACAUGAAGCAAGUUCAUUCUGCAGAAAGUACUUCCAGUGA